GUUGUAGUCGUAAUGGAUCUUCGCGCUGCCAUGGCGCUCAGCCUGAAGUAGAGACAAAAAAUUGGAGUUUCAACUAAAAUGUAAGAAACUAAAAACGAAAAUUUCUAACCGACGUGAGACGCGUUGAAUCCGCGGAGAAAUGAAUUGAAAAAGUACUUAAAAAUGGACCACUUGUCGGCAUCCCCACACAAUCAUCGUGAAGAUAAGUUUCAGCGUUAAUACCCGACUCUUAUUGGCGGUGGCAAAGUACAUGUUGCUACGUAGGAUAUUAUUCCAAGUAUAUCGUUCCAUGCCAGUAUCGGUCAAACAUCAGUAAACUUAAAACGUCGCGCGAUGCAACUCUUAUCUCAAGAAUAUAAGCAUAUCACGCGCAUACAUUCAUUAUGUAAUAAGUAGCGUGAUAAUAUUAAUAUUUAGCCUGUUGCAAUGAAAUUAUUUAGAAUUACAUUCCUGUACUCUUCUCUAUCGAAUAUUUUUAAUUUUAUUCAAAGACAAAUAACUUUUGCGCGACGGGAAAUCUUUAUUGUGAAAGGAAUGGAAUAAUGUAGAAUGAGAGAUAAAUGUGCU